CUUAACGCAACUAAACAUACUGCGGUUGAGAUGAAGGGAGUUCACAACAAUGACGACGACGACGACGAUGAUGAUAAAGGAACCUGUUUCAAUAUGGAUCCACUUCUUGGAUUCUUCAUAAUUGAUUCAAUGAAUCGCCAAGAUUAUUGUUUCGCUUUGCAGGUGAAGAAGAAACACCCUUUUCAGAUUGCUCAUCAUUUUCCCUUUCUUCUUCUCAGUACCUGAAGCAACAGCCAUAGGCUGUUCAACAUGAAUCGCUUGCUAAUAUAUAUACCCGCACUAAUACAACAACUAAUAUAGCCUGCUAGGGGUGUGCAUCAUUCGGAUUAAAUCAAGAAACCAAAUCGAACCAAACCGAAUUUUAAUUUGGAUUGAGAAAUUAAAAAUUUUGUUUUUUGGUUCGGAAUCGAAUUUUAGCAUAAGGUUUAUUGGCCUAUUUGUAUUAGAGAAAAACCAAACCAAUCCAAAUCGGGAAAAAAACCGAAUUGAAAAGAGAAAUACCAAACCAAACCAAACUUAUUUUGGUUCGGAUUGGAUUGUACAAAUCGAAAACCGAAAUCGAACAAUGUUAAACUGAAUACACACCCUGCUGAUAGUAAAUCUCUGAUUUUCAAGAAACCAAAUGUGAUAGACUCGGGGAAUCAAUGGGGUGAUCCAAAACCAGAGAAGCAUAUAGUAACCUAUUCCACGUAUCAGGCAGUCCAGGCAGGCACCAAUGGCUGCAAUCAGCAUAACUCUCUGGUGGCUUUAAUUUUCUGUUCAUCAGUUCUUGUCCUUUCAUUUUGUUGUAUACUGAUGGAUGUGCAUCUAAACGGUGCUCUGAGAGCUUGGUAAUGUUUAAGUAUCUUACAGGGACUCUCAUUUUUGACAAUGUUUUAUCAACAAUUUCUGUCAGGGACUCAGAAAAAUGUGAUACAC